CAUGCAUGAGGUGUAAAGCGUAUGCUUUCAGGAAAAAUGAAGGGUAAAUUUUGGGGUAUUACAGCUGCCCCUAUUCAAUCAACUGGAGACCUAGAAAGAAGAUAGCAGCGGCUUUCGUGCUUUCGAGGUAUCAAGGGAUUGAAUACAAUAAAAGCCCGAAAAUUUGCACUGAAGUGAAGUGAAGUAACAAUGCCUGUCAGAAUCGGC
rnacentral:lncRNA from 1 species